GCAGUGGUGGUUCAGUGGUAGAACUCUCAGCUUCCAAGUGGGAGACUUGGUUGAUUCCACGUCAGUGCA
rnacentral:tRNA from 1 species